rnacentral:lncRNA from 1 species
AGCAGCUCUACAAAGAUGUCAACAUCUGGAUCUGCAGCUACUACAGAGACCUGGUCACAGCUGGAUCACCAUGCUCAAAAAGAGGGCAAUGCCACCAUUACAGAUCACAAUAUCCUGCCCCCUUGGCUUGGCUCCUCAGAGCCUCAUGAGUAUGAAGAAGUGAGGAUGGCAAGGGGAUAUGAGGAGCUGGCACCUCGGUAUGAUAUCUGGCACCCUAAGGAGGAACCACAGGUUCACGAAUAUGCAGUGAGUACCUGGAAACUCUUUCCUUGGGCCGAGGAAGGGGAGGCAUCAUUUCUGUUUCCCUUUCCAUUCUGUCUCCCUUGUGUGUUUCAUACCAUGCUCUCUUUAUAUUCAAAUAAUGAAUUGCUGCUGUCAUAUACAUUACGCAAAACAAUUUAUCCAUUGGAGUCUAGCUUAUUUUAACAGAGAAUAUAUUAGAGGAAGGAUGACUGUAGCUACCUAGAAUCAUGAACCUUCCUGAUAAUGCUGGCGCCUUGUAGCUUUCUUUCUUUCUUUUUUUUUAAAAAAAUAAUUUUUAUUAUGAUUUUCAAGACUUUACAGCAGGGGUCCCCAAACUUUUUAAACAGGGGGCCAGUUCACGGUCCCUCAGACCGUUGGAGGGCCGGACUAUAGUUUUUUAAAGAACAAUGAACAAAUACCUAUGCACACUGCACAUGCCUUAUUUUGAAGUAAAAACAAAAACAAAAAUGAAUAAAUACAGCCUCAAUGUUAAUCAUAAUCAUAAUAAAAUAAUAAAGAGGGUUGGAAGACACCACUUGGGCCAUUAAGUCCUGUCCAACCCCCUUCUGCCUUUGUGCACUAAAAGCACAAGCAAAGCACCCCUGACAGAUGGCCACCCAGCCUCAAUGUUGUUAAUAGUAAUAGUGGGAAGUGUUUGACUUGUGAUUUUGUGAUACGAAAUCCUGCAUAUAUAUCUCAUUUGCUGUAUUAUAUUGUGUCUUUGUGUCAAUAAUGCAGUAGAGUCUCACUUAUCCAAGCUUCACUUAUCCAAUGUUCUGGAUUAUCCAAGGCAGUCUGCCUUUUAGUAGUCAAUGUAGUAAAUGUUGCAAUGUUUUGGUGCUAAAUUCAUAAAUACAGUAAUUACUACAUAACAUUACUGUGUAUUGAACUGCUUUUUCUGCCAAUUUGUUGUAAAAAAUGAUGUUUUGAUGCUUGAUUUGUAAAAUCAUAAUGUCAUUUUAUUUUUAAUAGCCUUUUUUCUUAAUCUCUCCUUAUUAUCCAACAUUUUCGCUUAUCCAAGGUUCUGCCAGCCCGUUUAUCAUGGAUAAGUGAGACUCUACUAACUAUCUAAUCUUCAUAUAUCAUAAACUUCUGCAAAUAGAUUACAUUUUCCUCUAUCUAUAUAGGAUCCGUACUUCAUACUAUUAUUAAUUUAUUUUUCAUCCAUCUUUAGAUAAUUCUCCAGCAUAGUCCAGUCCGUCUUUUUAAUUCCCUUUCCAUUGCUCUGCUUCAUCAGAUAUGUCAAUUUAUCCAUGUCCUUUAUUUCCAUGAUUUUAUCAAUCCAUUGUAUCUUGGUAGGGAUUAGAUCUUGUUUCCAAAGUUUAGCGAACACUAUCCUAGCUGCCGUCACUAAGAAUGUAAACAACUUGUCUGUGUUUAAAUCCCCAAAACGAUCAAAAUCAAACAUGCCUAAUAGAUAAAUUUCAGGUUUCAUUGGGAAAUCUUUUUUAAGUAUUUUUUUUUACAUUUGGUAUGUAUUAAUCUCCAAAAUUGAAUUGUUUUCUCACAAGACCACCACAUGUGGUAGAAUGUGCCUUCAUGUAAUUUACACUUCCAACAUUUUUGAUCAACAUUUUUAUACAUUAUUCCUAAUUUUUUGGGUGUAAUAUACCAACAAUGUAGCAUCUCUUUGUAACUUUCUUUCAUACUGCAUUAUUAUAGCAUUUUGACAUUAUUUAACUGUGGGAUUCUUAGGCUGGUGAAGCACUAGAGCUCUGUGGCAUGAAUUUUAAAUAGCUCUCCCUAAACUGCAAAUUGCAGGAUUCCACUGAUGUUGCUGUGACAGUUAAAGUGAAAUGUUUACAUUUUAACUGUGAAUUAUGAAAGGGGGUUAUCCCAAAGAUGACACUUUGAACCUUCUGAAUGCCAGAUAUGUUCUCAAUCCUUGAAUGCCAUCCACUCUCCAAGACUCAGUUCCUAGAUACCUUACUGACAGAUAUAGAAAAAGUUUGUGGCUAUCUAACCAGCUAUUUGAACCAUGGUCAAAUGGGGAGCACGGGGGCUAUAGUCCUGACAAUUUGGAAAGUCCCAAGGUUUCCCUUAUCCUUGCAAUAGGGCUAAAUCAGGUGGUUCCCAAACUUAUUUGGCCUACCCGCCCCCUUUCCAGAAAAAAAUAUUACUCAGCGCCCCCUGGAAAGGGGGGCGUGGCUUAGAGGGGUGGGCGUGGCUCCUGCUCAAGCGGGCGGGGCUGAGCCUCUUCCCCUAGUCCAAGAUGCAGGGCUGCGAGGGGGAGGGGGGUGGGCGGGGCCACAAAUGGGUGGCCAGGACUGGGAUGGGCGGAGUUACGAGCUCUGAGGCAGGGCUGAGCUUCUAUCCCUGUCCUGCAGUGCCUGCCAGGAUACAGGGGGUGGGGUUAGAGGAGGGGCGGGGCCUCUUCCCAAAUUCCCGAUGAGGCUGAACCUCUAUACCCCACCCACGUGUUCUAAAAAG